rnacentral:lncRNA from 1 species
GAGGUGAGUAUCAUUUUAGUAUCUUUUAGGAGAGAAGAGUAAAAUUUUUUCUUUAAAUAAUGUUACGUCAAAAUAUUUAAAGUACUUUUAAUUGUGUAAAAUAUCAUGUAAAUAACUAAUUUAUUGAAUUAAAUUUAGAUCAUAGGAUUUAAUUGGUAAAUUUAUUUUAAUUAUUAUAUAUCUUCUUCAUAAUUGUAUUUUAUUGGAAAUAUAUUUUAGAAGUUAUCAUUAAUUAAUGUGUUUGCAGUUAACAUAAACAAAUUUAAAAAGAUUGUUGCCAUUCUCUUCACAGAAUGUUAGUGUAGUUAAUUAAGUAUUGCACAAGUCAACAAUACAGAUGCCAUAAUAAACUAGUGCAUGUACACCACGUAUCUAUUUAUUUUAUCUUUCUUUUCUUUCUCGAAAUUAUUGUCGAUGAAUUAUUUUUCUUUUACAGUGUUAUUUAUUUAUUCUAAAGCAUGCAUGUCUCAUUUUUCCCAGAUUACCAUCAUCCAUAUUAUUUGUAACAAAAAAUUCAGUUCCAUCGAUAAAAAAAAGCAAAAGAAAAACAGAAGAAGAAGUUUGGCUAAUAUAGCCCACCAAUAUUCCUCAAAACAAAAAACGAAGGCUCAAGACAAAAAUUGCUUCUGUGACAUCCAAUCAACAAACAUGCAAAUUAAACCUGCUGCAUGUAUUAUGAUCAUGAUUAAGUAAUACAGUACAAAAGAAAAUUAACAAUAUAUAAUAGCAAGAGAAGAAGAAGAAGAACAACGUCAAUAAUAAAUGAAGGUAUAAACUAUAAAGCAUCAACGGUCACUUUUUAAUCUAUCAAAAGAUUUUAAAUAAAUGAAGAAAUGAAUUAGAAGAUAUGGGAGUACAAUCACAUCAAAUAUCUUUGAUGCUCUAUAAAUUCUUAAAAGCAUCACAAGCAAAGGAGAGGGCCAAAAAUGAGAAAAUCCAUAAAGCAAACGAACUUAAGAAGCGAAUUUUUUUUAUUACAUAAAAAAUAUUUCUGCAGAGAAUAUCAUAGUUAAAAAAAAAGUUGGAGAAGAAAAGUGAGAACUUUUAUUUUUAAUAUUAGAGUGGUAAUAGUGUUUUAUUAAAAUGUAAAUUAUUGGGGUGUUAUUCUUAAAUGUGGGAUCGUUUUAAUUAGAGAAAUAGAAAUCAAACCAUUUAAUUUAUUAGAAGUACAGAAAUCGAAUAGUCCAAUUUCUAGAGGUACAUAAUCGGACCGUUCGAUUUGUGAAAAGUACAUAAAUCAAUCUGUCUGAUUUGUAUUAAAAAAAAUAAAAAUUUUGAGGUAUAGAAAUCGCACCCUUCGAUUUGUAUACUUUCUACAAUUUUAAAAAAUACAAAAAAUUAUAAUGUUAAAAUAUAUCAAUUCUUUUACUUUUAUAACAAAAAAAAACAACAAAUAAGAGAAUCUUGGAACUAACAAAAAAUUUGAAAAGAGAGAUGCAUGCUUUGAAAGUUGAAACAAGUAAACGACACUACACAACAUAUAAGAAGAAUAAUUAACAACCGACAAUUUAAGAAAGAAAAGAAAAAUAAAAUAAAUAAAUACGUAAUCUACAUACACUAAUUUAUUAUGACACAUGUAUUGUUGACUUCUUGUGCAAUACUUAACUACACGGUAUGAAGAGAAUGGCAACAAUCUUUUUAAAUUUGUGCCUGAAGUAAAUUGUAAAAUUAGUUUUAAAAAAUUUGUUUUUUAAAAUAAUUAAAAAAAAUUAAUUAAUUUUUUUUUAAAAAAUUUAAAUUAAUCAUAUUAAUUUUAAAGGCUAAUUGAAAAAAUAAAUAAUUUUUAAAAUUAAUUUUCCCAUUUACCUUUUAUUUGUGUAGUUGCACACAUUAUACUCUUUUAAUUUAUCAUAUUUGUGUAGUUGCAAAAUUUUAAAAGAGUGUGUGCAAUUAUUAUCAUAUUUUACUUUUUUUUAAUUUAUUAUUUAACUUAUUUGUAUUUUUUAAUUUGACAAUAUUACAUAUACAACUGUUUUUUUAAUUAAAUCCAAUCAAAUUGAUAUAUGUAAAAUUUUUCAAAAUUCAAUAUGCAUGUGCAUUAUACAUUUUUUUUUUAUUAAUAUAGCACAUAAAUUUUUGUUAGAAAGUACAAAAUUUUAUUCAUAUAGUACAUAAAUUUUUGUACUAAACAAAAAAAAUUUGUACAUAAUAUAAAUUUGUUAAAAUAGCAUAAAAAAUUUUGCGUAAAUUAAUUUAAGAAUGGAAGUAAUAAUGAAGAUGUGCAAGUAUACUGUGAUUUGGGGUGUAUUCCACAGAUGUGGAUCCGUUGAAGUCAGUAACCUGCAAAACACAAGUUACUUUUUGCAUUACCUAAAACGAAAAAAGCUGAGGCUCCUGCAAAACGCAGGAUACGUUUUACGUAAAUCUAACCUCUUCCAUAAUUUCAACCUCAACUAAUGUUGAUUUUCGUUUCUUUGACAUAAGUAACUGUAAAAAAAAUUCACAACUAUGACAUAUACAGAAGUUUUUUCAUUAAAAUAAAAUAAAAAAAUUAUUAUUUUCUCAGACACCAUUUUUAAACUUUAAUUUUCCAAAUACUUAAGUUUCAUAACAGACAAUGACAACCAUUAUCAUCGACUUCAUAGUAUAUAUGGAUACACAAGAGUACACAGACAACAAGCAUAACUUCUUCAAUAUCGCCGGCACCAAUGGCAACCAUUAUCAUCGUUCAAAAAUUCACAGACACACUCUUGAUUAAAAUAUUUUUUCUACUAAAAACGCAAUCUGCAUUUUAAGCCUUCUACAAUAGUUUUUGACACCUUAAGAAUGCAACCUGCAUUUUGCGUCCUUAAAAAAAAUCCUGACACCCAAAAAAUUUUUGUUGUUAAAAAAAAAACGUGAAAACAAUAAAACAAAGGCUACGUUUUAUUAUUUUGAUGAAUAAAAAAAAUAAAAAACGAUUAAAAAUGGUAAAAAACAGGUUACCAUUUAUACUGAGAUCAUAACAGUGAAAUUUUUGUUCAUCCGUUCAUUUCAUUGCAUUACACCAUUAUUGUUUUCAUAUAAAAAAAAUGAGCUAAAUUUUACACAUAGCACAUAAAUUUAUUAAUUUAGUAUAAAAAAUUUUGUACAUCAUUCAAAAAAUUUUGCUAAAUAACUCAAAAAUGACUUUUACUAUCACUGUUCUGGAUUCUAUGCUCAGUUAUUUUGCUGCACAACUCAAAUUAUUUUUACUACUACUGCUAUUAUGGGUUUUGUACUGUGUACUAAAAUUUUUGUACUCAAUAACUUUACUAAACAUAUAUAUAAAAAAAGAUGAUGACCAUAAAGAUAACGAAGGAGGAGAAAUAAAAACAAAGAGCAGAAGAAAUCAAAUGAAAGAAAAAGGAAGAAGAAAAAAAGAUGACGAAUUUAUUUCUCACUGCUUAAUUAUAAAAGAAGAAGAUGACGACCAUGAAGAUGACGAAAGAGGAGAAGUAAAAAUAAAGAGUAGAAGAAAUCAAAUAAAAGAAAAAGAAAGAGAAAAAAAGAUAACGAAGUAGACAAAAAAAAGUAAGAAGAAGAUGACGACCAUGAAGAUGAGGAAGGAGGAGAAGUAAAAACAAAGAGUAGAAGAAAUCAAAUGAAAGAAAAACGAACAGGAAAAAAAGAUGACGAUGUAGACAAAAAAAAAGUAUCAGAAAGAAGUACUUGGAAUGUGUUUUUAUUUCUCAGUGCUUAACUAGACUUGGUUGUAUAAAGUAUUUGGCUGCCUAACAUUCUAUAAACAUAUUUAUAAACGAAAGAGCUGGGUAU